rnacentral:rRNA from 1 species
CGCGCUGCAUUGGACCGGACGUGUCGCGUAAGAGCAAAGGAAGGCGGCGGCGAGAGAGAGUAGAGAGAAAGCACGCUUGAGGGCCGGGGAAAGGAGGGUAGGGGAAGGGAGGGGUUCCUGCCCUGCGUCCAUCCUGACAUCGUGGCCGUCUGCCCGCCGCCUCGAGGGGAAACAGGCACCUCUAGUGAAGUCCCGAGAUAGACUUUUCUGUACUGGAUCCGGAGGUGUAACCCUUCCACUCAUCGUUGGUUCGUACCGCAGUUCCCGCUAGUAAUCCUCUUCUUUCAUAGAGAACCUAGUACAAUUGUGUGGAUAGGAGAGCAGAAGGAGGGGAAGUAAGGCGGUACCUUGUAUACCGAAGUUCGGACUCGGUUCUUAUCGUGUUGGUAAAGAACUCGUUUCGAAUCCCCUGAGCUUCAGACUCUUCCUCUUCCUCGUUAUAUCACAGCUAAACUGUUUCCCCCCAGACGAUCCAGGACUAUUGCCCGAAGACGCUGCAGGUCGAGUGCACUAAAGAGUGAUACCGAUACCUUAACCUUCCUUACUUAAGUGUAACGGAAAGCCUCGAUCUCCAAACAACGUCAGUCAAGCGUUUCGUAGUUGACGUUGACGACCCGUUGGAUUUAACCUAUAACUUCUUGUCCCACUACUUUUGGUCUUAUUUUCCUUUUUUCUCCGUAGGGGUCUUCUUACACUAGUCCGACACCUUCCCGACUCGUGCCGUUUUCGAUUUCGGUUUCGAUUCGUCCACGUUCUAAGCGAUUUCCGACUGGUCAGUUAGCAUUUCUUCAAGACCCGUUCCGAAGACCCAUAACCAGGCCGAGAAGCUCGACAACGAAGUUACUCGUCUCGACUAACCCGACGGUUUGACUUCGUACCCUUUCUACUUAAAUAAAGGUGUGACGUCGUAAUGACCGAUCCUUGUUUCGAUGAGACCCGUCUACAAUCCUAAAGUAGUUCUAACGAACACUUUGAACGACCACCUUUCUCGGAGAGUUCUUCUCUCUCCGUUGUCGAGUGGGCAUGUUGUCGUCUAUAGAAGUCCGACCAUGGACAACGACACAAGUAACAACAGGGUAAGUACCUUAAGGAUGAUGGUCACAAAGAAUUCAACAAAGGUUUAUACGACGGUAGUUGAAAGGUUCUGUUCUACUUUCUUCUCCUUCGCAACUUUUCCUUUGAUUUUCGUUCCUACCUCAUACGUUUCAAAGACGUUCUAUGACGUUUUCUUUACCGUUUCCUUCAAGUUUGUAGUGCAUCACCUCUUUGUUUUGUCUGUCGACUUCUAGACCUGCUUAAAAAUUUGUUCCAAUCCUUUCCACUUGCACAUAGGUUACUACUUUAGAACUCGAAGCGCUUCGAAAAAUUACUACUUAACUGGAACCUAUUGUACUCGUCUCGUGCGAACCACUUAUACACGUUUAUAUACCCAUAAGCUGGAAAACCAUGUCUAGUAAUGAACUCUAAGUACGAAGCCUUUUUUGAUGCUCUGUAAUUCUUACUACUAUUUUACUAAGUUCGACUCCCACAACUAAGAGAAAGACUUCUCCUCGAGGCCGUUCGGACGGCACUAGCGCCAGUGGAACCAGACGCCAGUUGUCUUCUUUACGCAUUUGUCGAUGCUCUGACCGACCUAGAUAGUGAAUUAGUACGACACGGUAGAAGAGAAGAGUAUGAAAGUUCUCGAAAAUGGGACCGACCCUCUUACUUUGGGCUCCUACGACAUCAUCGUUGUAACAGAAGAAACGGUCUACUUCAACACCUAUGUUAACCCUGUCAUAACGGUAGACUUCUAAGUCAAAGACUCUCCUCCUCUUUUGACCUUAAGGAACUCUACGUCCUUCUUGAAUAGUUCCUCCUUCUCUUCUUCUUUCUCUUUCUUCUCUUCCGUUUUGUUUUCUUCCUUCUUUUCCGUUUAGAGUGUCUUGUCCUCCGACGACUUCUUCUAAACCGAAAUUUCCUUUACUGACUCGGAUGACGAUCCCUUCUUCUUCUUGACUAUCUUCGUUUUGUUGUACUGUUCCUUGUCGAGACAUUAUAGUCAGCUCGUAACCGACACGAACGUAGACGUAGCAGACAAUCGUUCCUCGCAGUUCUCAAGGACUCGGAACAGUUGUUCCUCUAUUUUGAUAUAUUGAGGUACGAACUUUCUCUUCUGUGUCUCCCCCGUCUUCUUCGAUUCUUCCGUAUAUACCGACGAUCUCUCCUCAGUCUGCUGUGGUGUCUCCAACGAAGUCUCCUUUUCCAGAGCAGUCGCGACUAACUGUUCCAACUACGAUACGAAGUCCUUAAUCUUUUCCUCUAACUACUACACCUACGUGUUUAGCCUUUGGCGACCGUUGACGAACUAUCCCUAGUACUACCGUUUCACUGAGGACUCCUUCAUCGUCGCCGUCGUCGAAUAGAGUUCCUGUGGUAUCCCUUUCUUCCGCAGGUUCUCGAAUAGUCGUUCGAAAGAUUUCUGUUUCUUCCUUUCUAGGCACACCUUCUGUAGCACUUCGACCGCAGAGUUAGGCUCCUUUUGUUACUUCUACUACUUCUUCUUCGUGCCGUAAUCAGCCCUUGUGUGAACUGCUGAAAACACACACAACUCUACCCAUAAGGUCAAGUCCGUCCUUGAAGCUCAUAGAGUCAAUGAGGCAUCGUCACGCCGUACAUAUCUGGUCUUCCGUUUUGCCGGUAAGAACGCGGGGAGAACCGUCUGGAGCUAUCUUGGUGGUCAUUAAGCAUUCCUAUUGAAUGACACUUCUACUGCUGAACGUAUAUCAAACCCAAGCCGGAUUACCUAGGCGUCCAUUUGCCGUUGGCUCUAAAGUUGACCAACGACGCCCCCUCUUUUAUGACAAAAACCAACCAGUGCCCUAAGCGGUGAGGUGGGUUGUUAGACUCUUAAAUUAUUCUAGAUGAAGUUGAAGACUCUUUAGCACCCAAUUCGUGUAGCAAACACUUACGCACGAUAAACAACGAAAGUGUCAGUCACACAAUAACCAUCGGCAAUAGUAGAAACGAAAAUAUUACGGAACUAAUAGAACAGAGACUAGGAUCAGUCAAGGGUAAGAAGUUGAAGUAACAGCGGUAAAGUCGAGUGGACGAGGAGGCUGGGGGUACCGACUCGUCCUGUACCGGCAGACCAGGUCGACGGCGUCCACGGGAGGGAACCAUGAUACUACACCGUCUAUAUUC